rnacentral:misc_RNA from 1 species
UCCGGCUUUUCGCCGACAGUCUCUGUAGGGUGCUCAGCUUCACCUGGUAGCAACUACAGACAAGGGUUGCGCUCGUUGCGGGACUUAACCCAACAUCUCACGACACGAGCUGACGACAGCCAUGCAGCACCUCUGACCCAGUCCCCGAAGGGAAAGCCCUGUCUCCAGGACGGUCCGGGCCAGUUCAAACCCCGGUAAGGUUCUUCGCGUUGCGUCGAAUUAAACCACAUACUCCACCGCUUGUGCGGGCCCCCGUCAAUUCCUUUGAGUUUCAGCCUUGCGGCCGUACUCCCCAGGCGGACGACUUAACGAGUUAUCGCCGGCACGGAGGGACUUUGCUACCCCCCACACCAAGUCGUCAUCGUUUACAGCCAGGACUAC